rnacentral:SRP_RNA from 1 species
CCAGUCGGGACAGUAGCGGCGUCUUGUACCUGAAAUCCGCUAUAGCAGGGAUGGAAUCCGGCGGCGAGGGUUGUUUUUGUGCAGCCUGUCGUGCCGGUUUAUGUGUUGAGGUUUGGGCCUUACGCAAUUAUCCCUCAUGAACCAUGUCAGGCGGGGAACCGAGCAGCAUUAAGUGAUACGGAUAAUGUGCCGUAAGCACACCUGGACUGAGCAUAGCCGGCAA